UUUGCAUGUAGAGAGCUUUCUUUAGUCCACAUAUAGGAGGCAGUAUGGUUCAAUUAGCUUCUGACUCAUUCACACAAAUGCUAAGGUUUUGAGAGUCAAAGAAAGAAGGCCUUGGCAGCUGAGCGAAUGAAGCAGUAGACUGACUGAAUCUUAAGCUUCUUCUGCUUGGACUGAAGGGAGCUCCCUCCUCAUAAUUA
rnacentral:pre_miRNA from 1 species